GUUAAAUUCUUUCUUUUUGCAGAUUGGAUUGUGAUGGGCUGAUGCAAUUAAAAUAUGGCCAAGCCACAUCUGGUUUAGUAUUGAAUGGAAGGUUGUUGUUGUACAUGGAAGGUUGCUGCCGAAUACAAGUAAUUAGGCCGCUUUUGCCACAUGCUAGUUGUUGCCAUUAUUGGAAUUAAUUGGAAGAUUGGGCUAAAUCGAAAAGCCUAGUGUUUUGAUAUAUUGUGCUAGAGUUGGGACAAUGCUGAUUGGAUUGAAACGCUGGUGCUGAAGAGCAUUGGGCUGGAAUGAGCAUCAUACUGGGCCAGUGUUAUGGACUGAAGCCUUCAUGAAGAUUAAUGGGGUGUUGCUCCCUCCACCUCCCCAACUUUCUCCAUUUUUUUUAGUUACAAAAAUAACCUUUUUCUUUUCCUUUUUUAACCUUUUUACUUCUUUUUUCAUUUUCUAAUUUUAAUGUUAUUUAGAAGAGUAACCCUGAACCCUAACCUUUUACUCUUUUUUCUCACUUUUACUCUGCUCACAGCCCCACCCCCUCCCCCUAAAACUUAGAGAUCUGCCUCUUCUUCCACCUCCGUCAUACUCUUUUCUCUGGGUGACUUCU
rnacentral:lncRNA from 1 species